GGCCUAAACUUUACGAGCUACUUGUAAGGCAUGGUCAAAAAUACGCUACGAACAUAAAGAACCCAUCAUCAGGGCGUUCGUAGCGUUAUACGGGGAAACCCGUAUAGGGGUCGCAAGACCCU
rnacentral:sRNA from 1 species